ACAAUGGCAGUUUAUCCAAUCUCACUGUUAUAUCAUCCACACAGUCUGCAGCAACAUCUACAGUAGAGGAACUGAAUUUCCUAAUUGUAACAAGCUAUAUCCACCAGUGCUACUCAUCUGACCACUAUCAGUCAGC